AAAGACGCGCGGAGGCGGGCCUGUUGAACGUUGAUUGGCUGGGAGGGCGCCCUCCUCCCGCCGGUUGGGAGCGUGGAGGGCAGGGAGGCGGACGGGCAAAAGCGCUUUGGGGACGCUGGAAAGCAGUGCUUUCUAACGGCAGGAUUUCGAAGUGGUAGCAGGGCGUCGUUACUGCAGUGUGGUUUGGACUGGUCUGAGACAGUUCAAGCCAGUGGGUGGCUGUUAUUCUCCUGAAAAACAACUUUGAGGAACUGUUGACUGCUGAUGGCAAUUGUUACGCAGCUCUUUAAGCAACCAAGCAACAAGCAACCCUUUAAGCCUACGUACAUCUUUAAGCAACUCGGGCAGCUGCUGUGCUGUGUGGAGCUCAAGUCACAUGGAAAGGCCACAUGUAGGCAACAUAGAGACCCCUGCUGGGAUCCCAGUCAAUAGCUCCUAUCAACUGCCGGCAUGGGAAUGGGGCACACCGACGUGACAACCUGACUGAGCCUCAAGCUGACGCCAUAGCCAACUUGGCACUGCAGCUACGCGACCCCCUUGGGGGAACUGUCCAGCCAAGCCCAUUCAACCCCCAAAACUGGGGGAAAUAAUAAUAAAACUAUGUUUUAAGCCAA